GCCGUUGUAGCUCAGUUGGUAGAGCACGCCCUUGGUAGGGGCGAGGUCACCGGUUCGACUCCGGUCAACGGCU
rnacentral:tRNA from 2 species